rnacentral:rRNA from 1 species
AAAACGACUCUCGGCAACGGAUAUCUCGGCUCUUGCAUCGAUGAAGAACGUAGCGAAAUGCGAUACGUGGUGUGAAUUGCAGAAUCCCGUGAACCAUCGAGUCUUUGAACGCAAGUUGCGCCCAAGGCCUUUUGGUUGAGGGCACGUCUGCCUGGGUGUCACAC